GCGAGCAUGUGAUCUCAAGCUGGGCAGGGAACGCAGAGCUGCGCACCGGCCCGUGUGUUGUAAGCGGGCCCGGGUCAUAAAAGUGUCAGCACGCGAUAUAUCUCGUGCGGGGGAUCCUCCCUGGGCUCUUGCCAACGCCGUCUCUCUGUGGCUGGCAGCAGCCGGGGAGGCUCUCCCAGACGCCUCAUUUUUAGCCCUGGCCUCAUUUUUAGCCGGGGGACCCCGGGGAGGGGGGGGGAGGAGGUGUCGCAGUCCUGCUGCACCCCCCUCGCCACACACACACAGCGCUAUGCUGGGGUGCGGGCUGGUGGCCGGCACCGUGCCCUGGCUCUUACACCAGUGAGGUAUCUUUGACGAUCACACCUGGCGCUGGGGACUUAGGGCUCAGACCCGCAUGGGAAUUCUGGAGCUAUGCUCAUUGGAUGGCGGCAUCUCAAUUGCCCUUCAGAGCAGACAAAACUCCUCUUCAGGACUCUAGACAGCAUCUCUACCAGAACCAACACCAACCAGAGGCAUUGGCAACGACAGGAGACUGAGUAUGGGAUGGUAUGUAUAGUGGCAAUGGACAUGUUCUCCCAAGCAUAUCCCCACACACAUUAUUCAUUUGUAUCCUCCAUAGCUUCCAUAAUCCAACCACUGCAGAAACAGGGAGCAAAGACACC
rnacentral:lncRNA from 1 species